CGUUUUCGCGUGCCAUUCACGUAAUUGACGUACCGUCGAUCCCAUGCACUGCCAAUAUUCAGGAACCGCCACGAUCCGGCCAUUGUGACUGUGUCCGCAAAGAUACUAGUGUUCUGGAUCAGUGUGGUUUUGAUUCGAAGUCUCGUUGCAUCAAUUUUAAGUGUGGUGAUUGCUGUGGUUUUGUUGCGGAGGAAGUUCUGUGCGUAUUGAUGAGAGUCUCGGUGCAAGAACGACCGAGAAACUGGCGCGAGGAAAGGGAUUAAAUGGUUUUAUAAAAGGGAUUAGGAACACAAAUAACGUUAAAGACAUCAAAGGUUUAAUGGCGAACUUUAAUUGACUGCUCAUCGAGUAAGAUUAAUGGAUUAUAAAAUUUCGAUCGCGUAGUGUAGUGAGUGGUUGUGACAAACAUUUCGUGAGAACUAUUCAAGAUGAAUGAAUGUCACCGAGUGCUAUUCUUCAGUAUUGUCCUAGCGACGAGUUCAGCUUACAAGGUUUUGGAAAAUGAAAAAAUUGAUAAAGGUAACACGCUUAAUUAAUAUUGAAAGGGCGAAACUCCCCCUACUGUGGAUGUAAGGAUA